GGACGUUAUUGUUGAAAAUUAUGAACGGACCUCAGAGCGCUUUUCACUAGAAGAGUCUUACGAUCGUGCGGUUUGUGUAAGAGAGACAGGGCAGAAUACCAAAUGUUCAGGAUUUUGUUCAGUCUAUCUUAAGCGUGGUGACGAAAAGAUUUUGUUCAGUCUAUCUUAAGCGCGGUGACUUAAGCGCGGUGAUAGCCUGCGAACAGACUCUCAAGCUGAAUUGAGAGCCUGCAUCGAUGACUAAUGAAUUUGAAUAUCUGC